UACGAAGGGGGCUAGCGUUGUUCGGAUUCAUUGGGCGUAAAGGGUGCGUAGGCGGCUUCCUAAGUUUGAUGUGAAAUCCUGGGGCUCAACCCUGGAACUGCAUUGAAUACUGGGAGGCUAGAGUACUGGAGAGGAAACUGGAAUUUACGGUGUAGCAGUGAAAUGCGUAGAGAUCGUAAGGAAGACCAGUGGCGAAGGCGAGUUUCUGGACAGUUACUGACGCUGAGGCACGAAGGCCAGGGGAGCAAACGGG
rnacentral:rRNA from 1 species